GAUUCACUAGCUUUCGGUGGUGGAGGAGGAGAAUUUGCGCUUUGGCUUGAUGGAGAUCUCUACCAUGGAAGAAGCCAUUCUUGUAAAACGUUUGGGAAUCGUACACUUUCUAAGAAGGAAGAUUUCUUUAUCCAAGAUAUUGAAAUCUGGGCUUUUGAAUAAAUAAAAUGCUCUCUGUCUUAGCAGGAGAAUGGCCCAAACCUGACAUGGACAAGCAUUGUUUGGAAAGUUCAAGAAGCAAUACAGUGUAACAUGUCACUUGUGCUUUAAAAUUAGUCUGUAUCACCAUUUAUUACAGUUAUAAUUUUGGAGUUUAUUUUUCAAAUCAUGUUCUUGUCCCAGAGUUCUUUAGGUUAACACUAGGGACUGCGUCCAUGUACUAGUAUAACAGCUUGGGUUUGUUAGAAUUUGGGCAACAUUUUGAUUAUAAUGACAACUUCAUUUUCACAUGUUACUCAGUUCCCUAAUAGGAUGGUGCUCUUUUGUUGAACCUGUAUUGAUUUUUUUUUUUUUAACUAUAUUGAUUCGUUUACUAGAACAGUCUAAUUGGGGCAUUGAGGAAAUGAAGACUGGAUACUUCUGUAUCUGUGAAGUUGGCACAGGUAACAUUUGGACAUGUUCAUCUUAUUCUUAGGAAGGAAAAAAUCACUUGCCAAAAUAAUACAUACUUCAUAGACCACUGAGUUCUAGUUUUUAUUCACACUACAACAUUCUCUUUAACGAUGUUGCAGGUAUUCUCAAUUUCCUUUUAAGAAAAAUGAAAUGUGAGGAGAAUUCUGGUUGUAAUAGAUGACAGUACAUAUGAUCUGCAGGUUUGGGCAUAUGCUUUCAUCAUUAAAUUAUCUGAUAAAGUUACAAGUCACAAAGGAGAAUGAGAACUUAAUGAUUCUAUUGGAUUUAAUAUAUUAGCAAGAAAACAUACUAUUUACAUAUGUGUAGCUUAGUAAGGCAUUAACAUAAGUACAAAAACUAUGAAACAGAUGCAUAUUUCCUCAACAUACUGUGUCAGGUAUACUGUUUUAUAAUUUGGUUGUUUUAGCCUUAUUGCACACCAACUCCCAAAAUAUAGGUUACUCUUGUUC
rnacentral:lncRNA from 1 species